UGUUUCCUGAGAUGUGCGAAAACCUGGUAUUUUGAACCUACACUGAUUAAUUGGGAGUUCCAUAUCCUAGGGUAGAUGUCAGGCCUCAUUUAUAAUCCUUAUGGGCAGAGGAAGACAAAAAUUCUAGUGAGAACACCCACCUGGCGUGAGCUAGGGCGUCAAAAAUCAGGGAAACGGCAUUUUGGGUAACAA
rnacentral:other from 1 species